GCUGGUGUAGCUCAGUCGGUAGAGCAGGGAUUUUGUAAGUCUCAGGUCGCGGGUUCGAACCCUGUCACCAGCUCCA
rnacentral:tRNA from 1 species